rnacentral:rRNA from 1 species
UACACACCGCCCGUCACACCAUGGGAGUUGGAUUCACUCGAAGGCGUUGAGCUAACCCGCAAGGGGGCAGGCGACCACAGUGGGUUUAGCGACUGGGGUG